UGGAGACAGUAUUUUUCACCCACAAUAAAUACUUUUGACUUAUUCAGUCACCCCCAAAUGAAUUUACAGUUUCUACCAAUACAAACCUGACCAAAGUCUCUCUCUCUCUCUCUCUCUCUCUCUCUCUCUCUCUCUCUCUCUCUAUACGUACGUACGUACUAGUAGUAGGUAGGAGGUAGUACGUACGUACCGUUACCGUUACGGUUACGGGUUACGGUACGGUAACGGUAACGGUNNNNNNNNNNNNNNNNNNNNUAAAUAACUUUUACGUUACUUAUUACUACGUACUACCCCAAACCUACGUAAUUACUACGUUUACUUACCUAACUAACUAACCUACGUACCAACGUACUCUCUCUCUCUCUCUCUCUCUCUCUCUCUCUCUCUCUCUCUCUCUAUAGCUAGGCAUGUGAAGGAGGAUGCCGAUUCCCAAUUGGGUUGGGUCCAGAAGGAACUUUGUGUAACCUUCGUUUGCCGGAGUUCUUGCCGACCUUCCUCCCUUGAGUAGGGGCAUUUGCUCUUUCUUUCUCCUUUGAACAAACAUAGUUAAAACAAGACAAUCAUUUAUAUGUAUAUGCACUUGCACACCCAUUUGUGUUUGCAAGUAAAUUAGUACAGACAUGUCCACGUG
rnacentral:lncRNA from 1 species